rnacentral:misc_RNA from 1 species
CUGAUGCCUUGAAAUUGAAAAUAAAACUCCACUCUACAUUUUAAAGUAGAUCCAAUUCUAAAUACAUGAAAUUGGUACCAAAAUUGAAGCUUCAAAUGCUAUUCCAUCAUAUAACCAAGAGAGCAGAAUUCUUCUAUAGAAUCAGAAUUUCAAUUUUGUUAUGAUUUGUUAAGUCACUGCAGUAGUAGUGCAAGAAAGCAUUCUUACAAGGCUAUCAAGGUUUUCCCCCAAGAAGCUGAGACUAUAUAAAUGAACAAAAAAAAAGUCCACAAUGUAGCAUUAUACUACAAGUGGGCUUGGAACUAUAAUAUAUUGAUCCCCCUUGUGCUUUACUGGUCACCGCCAUCUACAAGAUAAACACAUCUUUGAUGCCAGAGACUGAGACUCAGAGUAUACAGAACCUGUUUGAUCAGUUGCUGAAAAAUCCCAAAUUAAUGCCAAAUUGUUCAUCAUCUCUCUCCGCCUAUUUUGCAAAAGCUUACCAUUUUAUAUUCUUUUUGUAGGAGUCAGCUUCCGAAAUGCGGCAUGCAAAAUCAUCACUGCAUAACUGACACCAAGUGCACAGAAAAGAGCCAUUUGAACGUUUAAACAAAUAAGAAUAACUGCAGUUGCUGCAAUGAAGAAGUGUAGCUACUAAAUUAGAUGAAGUUCAGAAAACAACUUCCCAUUGUCAAUCAAUCGAAUUGUGAUAGUUAUUCAUAUUAAAUAACAAUAAAAGAAAUAUACUCAUAAAUUCUGAAUUUUUAAGAAAAAAACAAAAUACAACAAAAAAAAUCAAAGUGAAAUUGUAUGGGCAAUAUUGCUUUCACGUGCCUAAUCUUAACCUUUUUUUUCAAGACAGCAAUAGGAUUUGAUCCCAGGAUCCUUCCCUCUCUAGUUGGUGUCAUAACCCAUGAGCCAUAGAAGACAUCAGCCUCCAUUGAAGUAGUUUCUUCAAUUCUCAGUUGAAACCAAAUAGUUCUGAUGGAGGCUGGAGAUUCUUACAGGAUUUUCUUCAAUUUUCAUUUCAUUUUUCCUAAAAAGGCUUUCAUGACUGACUUAUGAAAAGAAGAAGAAAAAAAAAAGAGCAGCUAGCAGAUAUACCAUAAAAACCAGGCAAUCAAGAAAUUAAUACCUUGCAUAAAUUGCUCCCAAUUUCUGUCAUAGUGAACUUGACUCUUCACAUUUUGCACUGGAAUGCUAAAUUCAUUCUCCUAAAGUAGGUUUUUCUCCUAAGGUAACCCUUUUGUAGUUUUGCUCCUUCAAGGUAACCCUUUUGUAGUUUUGCUCCUUCUCACUUUCCCAUCUUUUUUAUCUUUCUUUUCUUUCUCCCUUCCCCCACUUUAAAUUUUCUUUUAUAGUGUGUACUUUCAGUGACAACUCUACCAAAGCACAAAAACAAAAAACAUAUUUACAGCUGAUUAAAAAUAAGCUUAAUAUUCUGGAGUUUUUGAAAUGCCUUCUUUACUAACCUAUGAUCUAAGCUAAAGUAUCAGUCAUAAUAAAAUAGAUGUCAAACGUUUAAUUUACUUGGAUCAGCAUCUUUAUUAUGUCAACGGUAUAAAUGAGAGUUUCAGACACGUGUAGUUUGCUAUAUACUUAAUUUUCUUGUAAACACAGUUCACAUACACAAAUUUCAAAGUACCUUAAAUCUUAUAGGGUUUUUGAUGCGCCCCUUGUGCAAAAAAAUUGUAAAAAUAAAAGUGCAGUUGAUCCUCACCGCAUUGAGCAGUGCGAACAAAAACCUGCCGAAUUACAGAGUAUUGAUCCCAUUCCCACCUAUCACUGCAGAACUUGAAAAUA